UCUGCCUUCUCGGCCUUGAAGUGUCAACGGAGUCGUCUCCACCACCACUGUACAAAGCACAGGACUUUUCUUUAAUUGGCAGAAGACAUAUACAUUAUUCAUCUUUUGAGUUUCAUCUGAAGGGAAUCCAAUAAAGAAGCACUUUUAUCUUCCAAUGAAAUAUUUAAAACUGCUGUUGUUGGGGGUUUUCUCCCCCCCACCCCAGAGACUGGACAGAAAACUCCAGCCAUGAUUUGAAUGACAAUAUCUGCUGCCUCAUCAGCCUGUUGGGAGAUGAAUGAGAAGAAUGAAUGCAUGCAGAGAGCACAGAGUAUGACAAGCUCAGAAAGACUCAGGGAGACUUGAACCUCCUUCCAGCAGCUCUAGUGCCCCAAGUCCCCAAGAGCUCCACCCUCCCUCCUCCUCUGUCCUUGUCAUGUUUCACUCUCCUCUUCACCUCAACAUUAAUUUCUUGUUAUAAAUCCUACUAAUCCUCAAACCAUAAUGUUUUUGUAAAGUAAGGUCCUCAAGCCUUGGGUUUCUCCAGAAUAAUUUCUUCAGUAACAGAGAACUGUACAUACUUUGAAAAUAUGUGAGUAAACAUGCACACUGAGGAUGCUA